GUACACAAAAAUGCACAUGCUGUGAGCUCGAUGAGUAGGGCGGGACACGUGGUAUCCUGUCUGAAUAUGGGGGGACCAUCCUCCAAGGCUAAAUACUCCUGACUGACCGAUAGUGAACCAGUACCGUGAGGGAAAGGCGAAAAGAACCCCGGCGAGGGGAGUGAAAAAGAACCUGAAACCGUGUACGUACAAGCAGUGGGAGCACGCUUAGGCGUGUGACUGCGUACCUUUUGUAUAAUGGGUCAGCGACUUAUAUUCUGUAGCAAGGUUAACCGAAUAGGGGAGCCGAAGGGAAACCGAGUCUUAACUGGGCGUUAAGUUGCAGGGUAUAGACCCGAAACCCGGUGAUCUAGCCAUGGGCAGGUUGAAGGUUGGGUAACACUAACUGGAGGACCGAACCGACUAAUGUUGAAAAAUUAGCGGAUGACUUGUGGCUGGGGGUGAAAGGCCAAUCAAACCGGGAGAUAGCUGGUUCUCCCCGAAAGCUAUUUAGGUAGCGCCUCGUGAAUUCAUCUCCGGGGGUAGAGCACUGUUUCGGCAAGGGGGUCAUCCCGACUUACCAACCCGAUGCAAACUGCGAAUACCGGAGAAUGUUAUCACGGGAGACACACGGCGGGUGCUAACGUCCGUCGUGAAGAGGGAAACAACCCAGACCGCCAGCUAAGGUCCCAAAGUCAUGGUUAAGUGGGAAACGAUGUGGGAAGGCCCAGACAGCCAGGAUGUUGGCUUAGAAGCAGCCAUCAUUUAAAGAAAGCGUAAUAGCUCACUGGUCGAGUCGGCCUGCGCGGAAGAUGUAACGGGGCUAAACCAUGCACCGAAGCUGCGGCAGCGACGCUGAUGCGUUGUUGGGUAGGGGAGCGUUCUGUAAGCCUGCGAAGGUGUGCUGUGAGGCAUGCUGGAGGUAUCAGAAGUGCGAAUGCUGACAUAAGUAACGAUAAAGCGGGUGAAAAGCCCGCUCGCCGGAAGACCAAGGGUUCCUGUCCAACGUUAAUCGGGGCAGGGUGAGUCGACCCCUAAGGCGAGGCCGAAAGGCGUAGUCGAUGGGAAACAGGUUAAUAUUCCUGUACUUGGUGUUACUGCGAAGGGGGGACGGAGAAGGCUAUGUUGGCCGGGCGACGGUUGUCCCGGUUUAAGCGUGUAGGCUGGUUUUCCAGGCAAAUCCGGAAAAUCAAGGCUGAGGCGUGAUGACGAGGCACUACGGUGCUGAAGCAACAAAUGCCCUGCUUCCAGGAAAAGCCUCUAAGCAUCAGGUAACAUCAAAUCGUACCCCAAACCGACACAGGUGGUCAGGUAGAGAAU
rnacentral:rRNA from 1 species